CCUUGCCUCUGAUACCCAUGCAUCUGGAAAGAUAGCUGUGCUGCACCAGAAACAAAACGGUGGCAGCAGUUGGUUGGAGAACAAGGUGGGACGGGGCAGUCGAGGCAGCAGGCUGGUAUCACGGGUCCUUGUCUUGCUGAGAAGAGUCUUAGAAGGUCAGGAGCCAGGCAUAAAGCGACAUGAGUUGGAAUGUCUUUGAGUAGAACGGUCUUUUCUUGAGAUGAAAGCUUCCUUCCUCCGUCCCUCCCUUCCUUCCUUUCUUUUUGCCAGAUACUCUGAUGCUCACCUCAUGACAGGACAUCAUCAGGGGAGCCAGCACGUAGUUAAGACCCUGCGGUUCUUGUUCUGGAGUUUACACCGCAUCGGAGGAGACAGCUCUAGAGUCCUGCUCCAGCUACUCAAAUGGAAUUUCCAGAUGGUUUCCUUGUCUAAGGUAUGCUGCUUUCUUCCAUAAACAAUCUUUACUCUUCUCCCCUCCCACGUGCAAUGUGAUUCCUACGUGCUUGGCCUUUACAUUUUUUUCUUUUAUGACUUAAAAAUAAUAGCC
ensembl:lncRNA